rnacentral:rRNA from 1 species
UACGGGGGGGGCAAGCGUUGUUCGGAAUUACUGGGCGUAAAGGGUUCGUAGGUGGCCAAUUAAGUCAGACGUGAAAUCCCUCAGCUCAACUGGGGAACUGCGUUUGAUACGGUGUGGCUAGAGUUCGGGAGAGGAGAGUGGAAUUCCCAGUGUAGAGGUGAAAUGCGUAGAGAUCGGAAGGAACACCAGUGGCGAAGGCGGCUACCUGGACAGAUACUGACACUGAGGCGCGAAAGCGUGGGGAGCAAACAGG